AUUGAACGCUGGCGGCAGGCCUAAUACAUGCAAGUCGAACGAGUGGCGGGCGGGUGAGUACUGUCUGGGAAACUGCCCGUUGGCUGGGGAUAACAACUGGAAAACGUAUCUAAUCACGUAUACCAUCGGAUUUGCGCAGAUGGGAUUAGCUUGUGGGUGGGGUAACGGCUUACCAAGGCGACGAUCCCUAGCCGGUCUGCGAGGGUGAUCGGCCACACUGGGACUGAGACACGGUCCAGACUCCUACGGGAGGCAGCAGUAGGGAAUCUUGCACAAUGGGCGCAAGCCUGAUGGAGCCAUGCCGCGUGUGUGAAGAAGGCCUUCGGAUUGUAAAGUUCUUUCGGCAGAGAAGCGGUACCCAACGAGGAAGCACCGGCUAACUCCGUGCCAGCCGCCGCGGUAAUAC
rnacentral:rRNA from 1 species